CCUACGGGAGGCAGCAGUGAGGAAUAUUGGUCAAUGGACGAGAGUCUGAACCAGCCAAGUAGCGUGAAGGAUGACUGCCCUAUGGGUUGUAAACUUCUUUUAUAAAGGAAUAAAACGAGGCACGUGUGCCUUUUUGCAUGUACUUUAUGAAUAAGGAUCGGCUAACUCCGUGCCAGCAGCCGCGGUAAUACGGAGGAUCCGAGCGUUAUCCGGAUUUAUUGGGUUUAAAGGGAGCGUAGAUGGGUUGUUAAGUCAGUUGUGAAAGUUUGCGGCUCAACCGUAAAAUUGCAAUUGAUACUGGCAGUCGUGAGUACAGUUGAGGUAGGCGGAAUUCGUGGUGUAGCGGUGAAAUGCUUAGAUAUCACGAAGAACCCCGAUUGCGAAGGCAGCUUACUAAACUGUGACUGACACUGAGGCUCGAAAGUGUGGGUAUCAAACAGGAUUAGAUACCCCUGUAGUC
rnacentral:rRNA from 1 species